rnacentral:lncRNA from 1 species
AGAUCAUUGGUAUAGGUUGGGUGUGGAGGCCCUUCGCCAAGGAAAUGCAGGUAUAGUGGAAUAUGCCUACCAGAGGACAAAGAACUUUGAGAGGUUGUCUUUUCUUUAUCUCAUAAAUGGUAACCUGGAAAAGCUGUCCAAGAUGCUGAAAAUUGCGGAAGUUAAGAACGAUGUUAUGGGUCAGUUUCACAAUGCUUUGUAUCUUGGCGAUAUCCAGGAACGUGUUAAGAUCUUGGAGAAUGCUGGUCACUUGCCUCUUGCUUAUGUUACAGCAUCUGUUCAUGGACUACAGGAUGUGGCCGAAAGGUUAGCAGCUGAGUUGGGAGAUGAUGUCCCUCCUUUGCCAGAGGGGAAAAAACCUUCCCUAUUGAUGCCUCCAACCCCUGUUACUUGUGGUGGCGAUUGGCCCCUUCUUAGAGUUAUGAAAGGCAUAUUUGAUGGUGGAUUGGAUAGUAUUGGCAGGGGUGCUGUGGAUGAGGAGGAGGAGGAGGGUGCAGAAGGUGAUUGGGGUGGAGAUCUUGAUGUGGUUGAUGUUGAUGGCUUACAGAAUGGGGAUGUUAGUGCAAUUUUGGAGGAUGAGGAAGCGGCUGAAGAAAAAGAAGAGGAGGGUGGAUGGGACCUUGAAGAUUUGGAACUUCCCCCUGAGGCAGACACCCCAAAAGUUUCUGGCAGUUCUCGCUCUUCUAUUUUUGUGGCACCAACUUCUGGUAUGCCUGUAAGUCAGAUUUGGAUUCAGAGAUCAUCUCUUGCUGCUGAACAUGCCGCAGCUGGCAAUUUUGAUACAGCAAUGCGUUUGCUGAGCAGGCAACUUGGCAUAAGAAACUUUACUCCUUUGAAAUCCAUGUUUCUUGAUCUUCACACCGGCAGCCAUAGCUAUCUUCGUGCAUUUUCAUCCGCUCCAGUAGUGUCCUUGGCAGUUGAGAGGGGGUGGAGUGAGUCAGCUAGUCCUAAUGUAAGGUGUCCGCCAGCCCUUGUGUUCAAUUUUUCUCAGUUGGAUGAAAAGCUGAAGGCUGGUUACAAGGCCACAACUGCUGGAAAAUUUACUGAGGCUCUUCGGAUCUUCCUCAGCAUGCUUCAUACAAUUCCAUUGAUUGUUGUGGAGUCAAGGAGGGAAGUUGAUGAAGUCAAGGAAUUAAUUAUUAUUGCUAAGGAGUAUGUUCUUGGUCUGCAAAUGGAGCUGGAGCGAAGAGGAAUGAAAGACAAUCCAGUGCGCCAACAGGAGCUUGCUGCCUACUUCACCCAUUGCAACCUUCAAUUGCCUCACCUCAGACUUGCUCUGCUAAAUGCAAUGACCGUCUGCUACAAGGUAAAGAACCUGGCUACAGCAGCUAACUUUGCCAGGCGUCUAAUAGAAACAAACCCCACAAAUGAGAAUCAGGCAAAGACCGCGAGGCAAGUGCUUCAAGCCGCUGAGAGGAAUAUGACAGAUGCCUAUGAGCUGAACUAUGAUUUCAGAAACCCAUUUGUGACAUGUGGGGCAACUUAUGUGCCAAUUUACCGAGGACAGAAGGAUGUAUCCUGCCCAUACUGCACCACUCGCUUCGUGCCUAGCCAGGAAGGGCAAUUGUGUACGGUGUGUGAUCUUGCGGUGGUCGGGGCUGAUGCUUCGGGGUUGCUUUGUUCUCCUUCACAGAUACGAUGAUGUUGCAGAAGUUGUAUCUAAUUUUGAACUUUAUCCUGCUGAUACUUUUAGCUGCAAAACAGGCCUCAUUGAUCGAUUAUAUCUACAUGUUAAAAGGUCAGAUUACUGAAGAAAAGCUGAGAACCAAAUUAAUUUGUUUGUGCUAUUUCCUUUCGAUUGCCUUUUGUUUUAUUCCUCUUAAUAGAGUUCAGUAUGAUUUUCAUAUGUAAGAAUGAAUUUAGAAUUGUAAUUUUCAGGCCAUUCGUGUUUUUUGUUGUUUCAUAGACAAGAAUAGUCAUGUAGGCCUGAUGAUGUGUCAUAGGUAGCACUUACAAAUUGAUUUAUGCAUGAUGUGAUUCCAGUGAUACUCGUUCAUUAGUCAGGAGUUUUGAUCGAUUGACACUUCUUGGGCGGUGGUAGUGAAUAUAUUUUCCAAUUCAAAUAGUUUGAAGCUUUUUUUUUUUUGUGUGUGUGUAUAUUUAUAUACGAAAUUGCUAAAUAUGACAAAUAAUAUAUUAAAAAAAAAAAGAAUUUUACUGGACUUAAUUCCCUUCUAACAAACAUAGAGAUAAAGAGGUUUUGGGAAAUUAUGAAGCCCAUAUGUUUCAAGUGGGCGUUCUUCCUUUAAACCACUCUGGACGUAAGUCCAGUCUCGACUCUCCUCCCAGCAACCUUUCCAAAAGCGAAGGCCGAAGAUGCUCCCGACGUGGCCCAUUAAUCAGACUAAAGCUGCGGUUACAAACCUGUACCGUACGCGAUGCAACUACGCGUGCAAGAAAAGAAGAUUCGGUCCAAGGCGGCUCAGCUGGAAUGGUCAGUUGGUCACUGGCGCCCGCUCUCCCUUAUCGUCCGUACGCAAAAGGAUGGCUGCAAUCUUCACUCUGCCCAACGCCCCGUGCCAGGCCCUUCUCUUUACUUUUCCAAAAAUAUCACCAGGUCUUUCUGUGUUCUCUCUUUCAUUUUCUUCAAUUUUUUUUUUUUUAAAUCUUGUGGUGCUUGAAUUUUGCUUGCUUUUAAUUUGAAGUUAGAACUCAAUCUUUCGUACAUUGGCUGGAACUUCUUUUUUUCCUAUGUACUUUUUUUUUGGGAAAAUAAAACAUAUCUUUUUUUAUUAUUAUUUCUCCAUUUUAGAGCAAUUUAAAAUUUUCUCAUGGUGUUAAUUAUCUCCUUUUUUUUUCUAAUUGAAUUUAUUUAAUAGGUGUUUCAUUGUUCUGUAAUGCAAAGUCCAUUGCUGAAAGGUUGGAACCCUGGGUUUUACGGAAAGGGGGGGGGGGUCAAGCCCUUUACUUUUCAACAACUUCAAAAGAGUGGAUGGGGUAAAAAUUACUGUAUAUUUGUCAUUCAUUUGGGCACCAGUUUGAUAUCAACACCUCAAAAACAUUUCUUGUGACAGCAAUUAUCUUUGAGCUGUUUAGUAAUGUUAUUGUUUUCUUGUGUAUUGAUGGUAAGUGCUCUGAAUCCUAAUAAAACAGGAGAACUUUGAUCUGUGGAACUGGACGGCCUCAUAGAUAUUCUGAGAGAGGCAAAUCCGAACGAAGUAAGAUUUCUUUCUGGCUUUUUCUCAUGAACCGUCUGAAACUUUAUGCGUAUGUUAAUGGAGAUUCCAUUAUGGUAUUGAGCUAAAGUCUUGUCUGGAGAAUGAAUUAUUCCUACUUGCUCCUUUGAGGAAUGAUGGUUUUUGUGGCAAGAAUGUUGACACCAAUGGUAUGAUUGCAAUGAUUUGUUCUCAAUAGGCUUCGGGAAACAUUUCCAUCCAUUUAGCUAUGGCUAUAUUGGCAACUAUUCUGACUUGAUAUGGGGUUUGGUUCUUUCCAUUGUCUAACUUAAUUUGGAUGCUAUGACUUGGAGUAGAAGAUUGUACGUGGACAGCUUCAGAAACUUGUUGAAAAUAUCAUUGCUUUCGAUGAGGGCUUCUGGGUAUGUCUUGGUGCGGGCCACUAACCGUGAAACCUGCAAAUCAGAUGACGGUAAAGCACGGUUUUCGGGUUGGUUAAUUAAUACUUCCAAGGUUCUCCCCAGAUUUUGUAAUUGUUAUGUUGCUUUUGAUAUGCUUCAUGAGACCCAUGUAACUCUCUGGGAUAAAAGGGGAAGAAAUUUGGUUUCUGGAAAGCUCUGUUCUCGCCUUUUUCUAUUUGAUCCUUUUUCCCCUUUUGACAGGAAAAAAAUUGAUUAGGAAACUGAUGUUCCCAAGAGGAUUUUGAAAUUUACCUCUAGCCAAUGUGGAGGAAGAGUUUCUUGGCCGGUUGGCCCCCUGAGGCUCUUGAGCAAAUGGAGAGAGUGUGAUAGAAAAUUUCUUUGAUCUGUUUUAGGAAUUAUCAUGGGAAAUUUUAAGAUUACCGGCAACGUCUUCUUACUGAAUAUUUGAAGGAAUCCAAUCAAAAGCAAAGGAGAUUGUCCAGUUUCAUCGGGGCAUUGCAGAAUAGGUUCUUCAACAGGAGUGAAAAUGACUCCAGACCCGAGGUGUUUUCAGCAUGCAAAAUGUGAAGCUAGGUUUCCUCUUCAAAGGAAGGACAAUUUACAGAUUUUGGAGCCAUGAAAUGUACAUUUAGUGAACAAUUUUGUUGUGCGAGUCUGAUGCUGUUCCAGAAGCAGAGAAUUUGUACCUAUUCAAUUCAACAUGUAAAAUUUUACAGCAAGGUGUUCAUAAAUAAUUAAUUAAAUAACAGUUUUUAAAGUAUCCACGUAAAAAACCACUUUUAGAAGUCGGUGAACUUUGGUUGAAUAAAAAUAUUUUCUUAUUAGCACCCUAAACAAUUGCUUUAUUAGGGCAAGACCCAUUAACCUUUAAAACAGUAACAUUUUUACCUCAGUCAUAACGUCGUCGUAAAAGCUUUAACUGGGGAGCAAGACUGUAGAAUCGAUAACAAAAUUCCAAUACUUCAAAUAAAGACGACUCUCAGAUCUUGAAGGAGGAAGUAGAAAAGAAAACUCUCUGAAAGAUAAUUUCUUGUUAAUUUUUGUUCUUAAUUUUAGAUGCUGAAUCAGAUCUGAGGUAAUUUCUUACUCAUCUCUUUGUUCAAUUACCAAAUCCAAUUCUCCCUGUUUGAUUACGCGGAUAACUUUGUUAGGUGUUGGAUUUGCAGAGAAUUGGCGGUUGAAGAGAAAGAAAAAGAAGAUGUUGACCAAGUUUGAGACGAAGAGUAAUAGAGUGAAGGGACUGAGUUUCCACACCAAGAGGCCAUGGAUCUUAGCCAGUCUCCACAGUGGCGUUAUCCAGUUAUGGGACUAUCGGAUGGGAACUCUGAUUGAUCGAUUCGACGAACACGAUGGCCCUGUUCGCGGCGUCCAUUUCCACAUGUCUCAGCCUUUGUUUGUCUCUGGAGGUUCUGAUUUCAUUUCUUUUCCUCUCAAUUUUAUAUCUGCUUAAUAAAUCUCGUUGAUUAUUUUAGUGAUCUAUGGAUUUGAAUGUGAAAUUGUGAAUUGUGCUAAUUAAUUGGGAUUGGAUUAGCUUAAAUUCUGGAGCUCUUUUAUUCUUGUAACUGUAUGACAUUUGAGAAAUCUGAUGUGUAUGAAUAAUAAUGCUGGAUCUAGAUUUACUAUUUGAGAUUUCAUGCACUUGGACUAGGUUUAGACUUUCAUCUUCUUGAUAUGCACAUCAGAGUCAUGGCCAGUAGAAAUUAAGGACCUGGCAGUAUCCCUUAAAUGCAAGAACUUUCUUCAAUGCCAACUAAAGUUAUUUGGGAUGGAGAUCUGCCAAACACUCUUGUCUUUAAGCUAGUAAGCAUACACCCAAGCCACCCAAAGAGAGCCUGGUCUGCAAAAGAGAGACCAAAUGUGCCUUAAGAUAUAGGCAACAUGUCCAAUCCUCUAAAUUUUCAGUCCCAAACUACCUUCACUUUUAGGAAAGCGAAAUAUAUCCCAUCCGAUGAUGGCUUCCUUGGCUGGCCCUUCUUUUUCUUUCCUCAAGAAUGUUGAGCAAAGCUGGUUGAUUUUAUUAAUCACCCUAGCUGGAAGAACAAAGAUAUAGCACCCCUAGUUGUGUAUGCUGAAUAGAAUAGACAGAAUUAACUUAAGUCUGCCAGCAUGGGAAAGUCACUCAACGGCCCAGCUGGUAAUACGACUUGUGAUUUUCUGUAUAAGACAGUCAAAAACUUUGUAAUAAAACCUGUGAUUUGGUGAAUGAAUAGUUUUCUAUUUAUGUUGUUUGAUGCUUUUUGUUGGCUAAAUUACUAUAAUCAUAAUUUUUGAAGAUGAAGAUUCUUAAAAUAAAAAGUUUGAAUACAAAGCAAGGGGGAAAUGGUUUUAAAUAUUUGAGCUUAUAAUAAAGUUAGAAUUUCUAAAUACAAAUAGAUUGGAAUUUAUAAAAUUUCAUGACAAUUUAAAUUCAAUGUUAAUGAGAUUUACAUUUCUCUCCUAUUAGUGAUUAUAUCAUUAGAAUUAAGAAAACAUAAAUAGAUUUAUUGAAUAAGGUUUGUUGACCAAUCAAAACUUCAGUUAUUUAUAAAUAAAAAUGAUGAAAGGACAAUUUAUGAAUAUAACAAAUAUUAAUGUUCUUUUGGCUGACAGCCCACACUGUCUAGAAAUAACUUUAUAACACUUUUUCCUUGCUUAACUAAGACAACUAACUUGCUGUUCAAUCUUGCACCGUAGAUAUUAAACUUCUGUGUUAGUAGAUUUAUUGCCGAAAGGGAUGCUGUUGAGUUUAUUAAUUUGAAAUUUUCUAGAACAGGAAAACACAGGGAAGGAAGGUCUGAAUUUGUAAAUUUUAUUGGCUCAAAUAGUGCUAUGAUUUUCUUUUACAAAGCAUAGGGUAAUUGUGCAAUACAAAUGAUACAAAAAAAAAAUUGAUGGUUUUUUACAGGGGAUGACUACAAGAUAAAGGUCUGGAACCACAAGUUGCAUAGAUGUCUUUUCACCCUCCUUGGACAUCUUGAUUAUAUUCGUACUGUGCAAUUUCAUCAUGAGCAUCCAUGGAUUGUGAGUGCCAGUGAUGAUCAGACCAUUCGCAUAUGGAACUGGCAGUCACGAACUUGCAUAUCUGUUUUAACUGGUCAUAAUCACUAUGUUAUGUGUGCCGCAUUCCAUCCUAAAGAAGACCUUGUUGUGUCCGCCUCCCUUGAUCAGACUGUUCGAGUUUGGGAUAUUGGUUCUUUGAAAAAGAAGACUGCCUCCCCAGCAGAUGACAUUUUACGGUUAAGUCAGAUGAACACAGAUCUUUUCGGUGGUGUUGAUGCAGUUGUUAAGUAUGUACUGGAAGGUCAUGAUCGAGGAGUAAAUUGGGCUGCAUUUCAUCCCACCUUACCUUUGAUAGUUUCUGGAGCAGAUGAUCGCCAAGUGAAAUUGUGGCGUAUGAAUGGUAAUUAUAGGAAAAAUGUGCCUUCUUCACCAUGCAUAUUUUAUUUGCUAGGGAUAUUGAUUAAAGCUUUUUUUUAGUACACUUAUUUUGCAAUUAAAAUCUUCAUAAAGACUUACAAUGUUUUUUCUUCUUUAAGUUUGAUUUAUGCUACAUAGCCCUUGAUAUUUGAGCCAAGUUACUAAACUUCUCCAUUUUAUUUUAUGACCGUAACUGUGUAUAUACAACCUACUAAAGUAGUUGGAUGAAGUUUUUGUGCAGCAGGGAAUUUAGACUCCUGAAUUGUUAUGUGAUUGAGUAAAUUGUUUAUUUAUUUGCAGAUACAAAGGCUUGGGAAGUGGAUACCUUGAGAGGACACAUGAAUAAUGUUUCAUGUGUUAUGUUCCAUGCCAAACAAGACAUCAUUGUGUCUAAUUCGGAGGAUAAAAGUAUUCGUGUGUGGGAUGCAACAAAGCGAACUGGACUUCAAACUUUCCGUCGAGAACAGGACAGAUUCUGGAUUCUCGCUGCUCAUCCUGAGAUGAAUCUUUUGGCGGCUGGACAUGACAGUGGCAUGAUUGUGUUCAAGCUAGAGAGAGAACGACCUGCUUUUGCAGUGAGUGGGGAUUCUCUGUUUUAUACCAAGGAUCGGUUUUUAAAGUAUUAUGACUUUUCAACUCAAAGAGAGACACAAGUAAUGCCAAUUCGGCGGCCUGGUUCCACAAGUCUGAAUCAAAGUCCAAGGACUCUUUCUUACAGUCCUACCGAAAAUGCUGUUCUUAUCUGCUCAGAUGUGGAUGGAGGAUCUUAUGAGUUGUAUGUGAUACCAAAAGACAGCAUUGGUAGGGGUGACAGUUUGCAGGAUGCAAAGAGAGGCCCUGGUAGUUCUGCUAUAUUUGUGGCUCGGAACCGGUUUGCUGUGCUUGACAAAGGCAACAACCAAGUCUUAAUCAAGAAUCUAAAAAAUGAGGUGGUUAAAAAGAGUGGCCUCCCAGUGCCUACGGAUGCAAUAUUUUAUGCUGGAACAGGCAGCUUGUUGUGUAGAUCAGAGGAUAGAGUAGUUAUAUUUGAUCUCCAGCAGAGGCUCGUUCUUGGUGAUCUGCAAACGCCUUUUGUGAAAUAUGUUGUUUGGUCUAAUGACAUGGAGAGUGUUGCUCUUCUCAGCAAGCAUUCCAUUGUCAUUGCUAACAAGAAGCUUGUGCACCAGUGCACUCUUCAUGAGACAAUACGCGUUAAGAGUGGAGCCUGGGAUGACAAUGGUGUUUUUAUUUAUGCCACCUUAAACCAUAUAAAAUACUGCCUUCCUAAUGGAGAUAGUGGAAUCAUUCGAACGCUUGAGGUUCCAAUAUAUAUAACUAAGGUUUCAGGCAAUGCUAUAUUUUGCCUGGAUCGUGAUGGGAAGAAUAAGACUAUAGUCGUUGAUGCUACAGAAUACAUUUUCAAGCUCUCUCUGCUUCGAAAGAGAUAUGAUCAGGUUAUGAAUAUGAUAAGAAACUCCCAGCUUUGUGGUGAGGCCAUGAUUGCUUAUCUGCAACAGAAGGGGUUUCCUGAAGUGGCUCUCCAUUUUGUCAAAGAUGAGAAAACACGCUUUAAUUUGGCUCUAGAGAGUGGGAACAUUCAAAUUGCUGUUGCAUCAGCUAAGGAGAUUGAUGACAAGGAUCACUGGUAUAGGUUGGGUGUGGAGGCCCUUCGCCAAGGCAAUGCAGGUAUAGUGGAAUAUGCCUACCAGAGGACAAAGAACUUUGAGAGGUUGUCUUUUCUUUAUCUCAUAAAUGGUAACCUGGAAAAGCUGUCCAAGAUGCUGAAAAUUGCGGAAGUUAAGAACGAUGUUAUGGGCCAGUUUCACAAUGCUUUGUAUCUUGGUGAUAUCCAGGAACGUGUUAAAAUCUUGGAGAAUGCUGGUC